rnacentral:rRNA from 1 species
UAGGGAAUCUUCCGCAAUGGACGCAAGUCUGACGGAGCAACGCCGCGUGAGUGAAGAAGGAUUUCGGUUCGUAAAACUCUGUUGUUAGAGAAGAACAGCGCAUAGAGUAACUGUUAUGCGUGUGACGGUAUCUAACCAGAAAGCCACGGCUAACUACGUGCCAGCAGCCGCGGUAAUACGUAAGGUCCGAGCGUUGUCCGGAAUCAUUGGGCGUAAAGGGUACGUAGGCGGGUAAGCAAGUUAGAAGUGAAAUCCUAUAGCUCAACUAUAGUAAGCUUUUAAAACUGCUCAUCUUGAGGUAUGGAAGGGAAAGUGGAAUUCCUAGUGUAGCGGUGAAAUGCGCAGAUAUUAGGAGGAAUACCGGUGGCGAAGGCGACUUUCUGGCCAUAAUCUGACGCUGAGGUACGAAAGCGUGGGUAGCAAACAGG